rnacentral:rRNA from 1 species
GUGGGGAAUAUUGGACAAUGUGCGAAAGCCUGAUCCAGCCAUGCCGCGUGAGUGAUGAAGGCCUUAGGGUUGUAAAGCUCUUUCAGUAGGGAAGAUAAUGACGGUACCUACAGAAGAAGCCCCGGCUAACUUCGUGCCAGCAGCCGCGGUAAUACGAAGGGGGCUAGCGUUGUUCGGAUUUACUGGGCGUAAAGCGCACGUAGGCGGAUUGGUCAGUUAGAGGUUAAAUCCUGGAGCUCAACUCCAGAACUGCCUUUAAUACUGCCAGUCUAGAGUCCAGAAGAGGUGAGUGGAACUCCUAGUGUAGAGGUGGAAUUCGUAGAUAUUAGGAAGAACACCAGUGGCGAAGGCGGCUCACUGGUCUGGUACUGACGCUGAGGUGCGAAAGCGUGGGGAGCAAACAGGAUUAGAUACCCCAGUAGUCC